rnacentral:rRNA from 1 species
GAUGAACGCUGGCGGCGUGCUUAACACAUGCAAGUCGAGCGAGGGAGCACCUUCGGGUGUGAACUAGCGGCGGACGGGUGAGUAACACGUGGGCAACCUGCCUUACAGAGGGGGAUAGCCUUCCGAAAGGAAGAUUAAUACCGCAUAUUAUGAUUUUUCUGCAUGGGAAAGUCAUGAAAGGAGCAAUCCGCUGUAAGAUGGGCCCGCGGCGCAUUAGCUAGUUGGUGAGGUAACGGCCCACCAAGGCGACGAUCAGUAGCCGGACUGAGAGGUUGAACGGCCACAUUGGGACUGAGACACGGCCCAG